rnacentral:rRNA from 1 species
CCUACGGGAGGCAGCAGUGAGGAAUAUUGGUCAAUGGACGAGAGUCUGAACCAGCCAAGUCGCGUGAAGGAUGACUGCCCUAUUUGUUGUAAACUUCUUUUAUAAAGGAAUAAAACGAGGCACGUGUGCCUUUUUGCAUGUACUUUAUGAAUAAGGAUCGGCUAACUCCGUGCCAGCAGCCGCGGUAAUACGGAGGAUCCGAGCGUUAUCCGGAUUUAUUGGGUUUAAAGGAAGCGUAGAUGGGUUGUUAAGUCAGUUGUGAAAGUUUGCGGCUCAACCGUAAAAUUGCAAUUGAUACUGGCAGUCGUGAGGACAGUUGAGGUAGGCGGAAUUCGUGGUGUAGCGGUGAAAUGCUUAGAUAUCACGAAGAACCCCGAUUGCGAAGGCAGCUUACUAAACUGUGACUGACAUUGAUGCUCGAAAGUGUGGGUAUCAAACAGGAUUAGAUACCCCAGUAGUC